AAGCGACAUUUUCAAAUGCUACACAGUGAGAUCCGAGUUGGUCCUCCAUCCAAGGUCUGCCAAAUUGUAGAGGUUUGUGCACUGCUGCACAACAUCUGCAAAGCAAGAAACAUCAUUCUUCCUGAGGAAGAAGAACAUCUUGCUGCAACCGAGGAUGGAGGCAACGAGGAGCGUCUCCUAGCACAGAAAGUUCAAAGUCGCCAUGAAGUAAUCCUUUACAGGGAUGAAUUUGUUGUGCUUCACUUCAACAUUGAUGAGUGAUGAGACACCAGUGUCAUGACUGCUGAGAUUGGUGUUAUUCUCAUGUACUCUAGUUUUUGUGUGUAGUACAUGUACUUAGCCUGUGCCUCCUCCUCAACACCCACUGCCUCGGUCACCACUUCUCUCUGUUGGGCUGCCUCUGCCACUUCCCCAGCAUCAUCUGCUGCCUGCACACUGCUGGCAUCAUUAGUUCUAACUUCAUAAACUAAGCUGAUAAUGUUUUUGGUUUUAUUGCUAAGGACAAAAGUAACAGAAACCAGUAAAUCUAG